rnacentral:rRNA from 1 species
AGUGAACGCUGGCGGUAGGCCUAACACAUGCAAGUCGAACGGCAGCACAGUAAGAGCUUGCUCUUACGGGUGGCGAGUGGCGGACGGGUGAGGAAUACAUCGGAAUCUACUUUUUCGUGGGGGAUAACGUAGGGAAACUUACGCUAAUACCGCAUACGACCUACGGGUGAAAGCAGGGGAUCUUCGGACCUUGCGCGAUUGAAUGAGCCGGUGUCGGAUUAGCUAGUUGGCGGGGUAAUGGCCCACCAAGGCGUUGAUGGGUAGCUGGUCUGAGAGGGUGGACGGGCACAUUGGGACUGAGAUAGGGCGCAGACUCCUACGGGAGGCAGCAGUGGGGAGUAUUGCACAGUGGGAGGAAGCCUGAUGAAGAAACGCCGCGUGCGGGAUGACGGCCUUCGGGUUGAAAACCGCUUUCGCCUGUGACGAAGCGUGAGUGACGGUAAUGGGUAAAGAAGCACCGGCUAACUACGUG